rnacentral:rRNA from 1 species
CAGCCGCCGCGGUAAUACGUAGGUCCCGAGCGUUGUCCGGAUUUAUUGGGCGUAAAGGGAGCGCAGGCGGUUUAGUAAGUCUGAAGUUAAAGGCAUUGGCUCAACCAAUGUAUGCUUUGGAAACUGUUAGACUUGAGUGCAGAAGGGGAGAGUGGAAUUCCAUGUGUAGCGGUGAAAUGCGUAGAUAUAUGGAGGAACACCGGUGGCGAAAGCGGCUCUCUGGUCUGUCACUGACGCUGAGGCUCGAAAGCGUGGGUAGCGAACAGGAUUAGAUACCCGUGUAGUCCCUGUCUCUUAUACA